rnacentral:lncRNA from 1 species
GCUUUGGUUGUGGACAUGGUCAGCCACCUCAGGGAAGUUGGAGAUUAUGUUGUAUUGAGUAAACUUUAAAGAAAAGAAAGAGAGAGAGAGAGAGUGGACUGCUUGAGAAUCCUGAAUGUUCCCAAUGCAAAUGAUAAAUCUUAGAGAGAGAUGCUCUUCCUGCGACCCCGAGAAGAUCAUUCUACCUUGCACACAAGUGUCACACCACAUAUGCAUAUGUACAAUUGUAUGUGCCAAUGAGGGACGUUCUAAAAUGUGAUAGCGAAGCACAGCACAAGUCACGGACACUGUUCUGGGGAAGAGCUCUGCAGCCCUGAACAUAUGCAGUCAGGAUAGAUCAAGACUUAAAGUGGGCAGAUGUACAGCUUCCAGCUCAGUGUCUGCAUGAGAAGGCAUAAGGAGCCAAUUAACCAGUUUAUCAUCAUGAUGAUGGUGACGGUGGUGGUGGUGAUGAUGAUGACGACGACGAGGACAAUGGAGAGCAACAAAGAGGAGGGGAGGAAGAGGAGAAGGAGAAAAAGGAAGAGGAGGGAGAGGAGGAGGACUCAUCAAGGAAGCCUUUGUAAGAAGCCUGUGAUGGCCAGCUCUCAUCCUUGUUCCCCGUCCAUCUAGUCUGCUCCAGCCCUGGCUCGGCAGGACGGCAGCCGGCCAUUUCCAGCAGCAGCAGCAGAGGAGGAGCAGGACUGGAAGCCAAGUCUUGGAAAUUCAUCUUCCAAAAAUUGCUUUCCAUCCAUUUUGCUCCAAUUCUGUUUUAUUUAUGACCCAGCAGCAAGCAGAUGGAGCCAUUUUUCCUCAGAGCUGCUUGAAAGAGGCGCUGUGCAAUUGUGCAGCCGGCUUUGGCUGAUUUAUGGGCUAUGUGCCUUGGGAAGUAGGCCCGUGCCCCUGCCCAUCUCUGAAGCUGGCAGAAUGGAGCACUGUCUGACCCUGCUCUCCGAGCCUGCCAUUUGGGGACGGGAGUCACCGGUGCUGACAGGUCACCUGGCCAGAGAAGGCUCUUCCUCCCUCAUCUCAUGUCUGCCGUAGACUCUCUCCCAGGAGAGCCCUCAGCCAUGGCUUCACCCCAGUGACCAGGGCACAGAGAAUAUUUCUCAAGGCCAUGGCGAUUUCCUUCUGCCACAGGGAGCACUCAGCCA